AGAGUUUGAUCCUGGCUCAGAACGAACGUUGGCGGUGUGGAUUAGGCAUGCAAGUCGUACGUGAAAGCCUUCGGGCAAGUAAAGUGGCGGACGGGUGAGUAACACGUAAUCAACCUACCCCUGAUACUGGAAUAGCUACUGGAAACGGUAGGUAAUGCCGGAUGGUCCCCGGGAGGGGCAUCUCUCCUCGGGUAAACGGCGGCUUCGGCUGCUGAUCAGGGAGGGGAUUGCGGCCUAUCAGCUUGUUGGUAGGGUAACGGCCUACCAAGGCUAUGACGGGUAGCCGGUCUGAGAGGACGAUCGGCCACACUGGGACUGAGACACUGCCCAGACUCCUACGGGAGGCUGCAGUCGAGAAUCUUCCGCAAUGGGCGAAAGCCUGACGGAGCGACACCGCGUGCAGGAUGAAGGCCCUCGGGUCGUAAACUGCUGUCACGCUAUAGGAACCCCAUGUCGUUAAUAGCUGCAUGGCUGACCAAAGCGAAAGGAAGCACCGGCUAACUCCGUGCCAGCAGCCGCGGUAAGACGGAGGGUGCAAACGUUGUUCGGAAUUACUGGGCAUAAAGCGCACGUAGGCGGCCUUUUAAGUCGGAAGUGAAAUCCCUCGGCUCAACCGGGGAACGGCUUUCGAUACUGAUUGGCUCGAGGACGGUUGGGGUGAGUGGAACUCUUGGUGGAGCGGUGAAAUGCAUAGAUAUC
rnacentral:rRNA from 1 species